UGGGUAAGGGGUGGCAGAGUGCUGUAGGUGGGAAAACCCAUCCAAAUUCCCUCACAUUGAUAAGACAAAACACUCUGGCUUUGGAGGGAGGUAGGCCAGGUUUGAAAUCAACUCUGCCUCUUGCCAAAGUUUUAAAUAUUUUCAAUUGUAAAAUGGACUUAUUGCUAUUUGACCUUACAGUGUAGUUCUGAAGACUGAAUGAGUGAAAUAUAAGGCAAGUGUACACGCUGAUGAGGCAACCACACUCCACUGCUCGUGCCUUCUGGAGAUUCUCUGCUUGUCUCUAGGGCAGGGGAACUGCAAUUCACCAAUGUACAUAUGCUUUAAAAGGAGUCAUUUCACAUUUCUUUCCAAAGCUUAUCACUGUUUGGCCAUGGUUCUUGAGUAUCAUUUUAUGUUUUUGGUAACUGUGCAGUGGAGGAGUAAUGAAAUGAGGGUAUGAGUCCAUGUAGCACCUCCUUCGCCCUGUGAUCUGCCCAAACAUCAAAUGGUGCAGAACAUCUAGAAAAAGGUACUAUGGAAAAACGUCCUUAACUAAGUUCCAGUGUUUGUUUCGGCUCAUCUAUGCCACUUGCAGCUGGCUCAACCUGUGUUUAAAGACUCACUGUUCAAUCUCAGAUAUUUAUUAGUUGUGCCUAUGACAGAGGGAAAAAUAUACCACCAAGAAAACAUUACAGAUUGACAUAAAAAAACUUUCCUUUCUCCCUCCUUAAAAACAAAACAAAACUACAGGGCCGGGUGCAGUGGUUCAUAACUGUAAUCCCAGAACUUUGGGAGGUCAAGGUAGGAAGAUCACUUGAAGCCAGGAAUUCAAGGCUGCAAUGAGCUACAAUCAUGCCAUUGCACUUCAGCCUGGGCAACAGAGCAAGACCCAGCCUCAAAAAAAAAAAAAAAAAAAAUUACAUAUUCCCAGUAUAUAAUUAAAAAUACAGAUAAGAAAAAGCAAGCAAUCUCUCAAAUACUUAGCAUCCAGAUAUAAGUAUAUGAACAUUUUUAAGUUAUUCCUAACCUUUCUUGUGCAACACAAGCAUGUAUUAAUAUUUAUGUAUGCAAUGUGUACCCGGACACUAGAGCCAGACUACCUGGGCUCAAACCCUGUCUCGCCACAUACAUCUGUGAGAUCUGGUAAACCGGCAGGAUGACAGUAUAUUCCUCAGUGUUCUUGUGAGGGGCAAGUGAGUUAAACAUAAACUCAGAACUGUGCAUGGUGUAGAACAAGUCCUCAACAAAUGAGAGCUACUGCUCCAUGUCAGGACAGGAAUAUCAGAAACACCACAUCCUUUCCUAUCUGUGCACAUACACAGCACACACACACGUGCAUGCCUGACUACUGACAUGUGUAUAGGCCUGUACUGUGUGAAUAUGUGAAGUUCUUAUGUUGAAACACACAAAACGGGAUCCAAUUUAAGGUAAUCUGUUUUUUCAUGUAUCAAAAAAUUUGCAUAUAAGUAUAGAUCUCUCACCAUUUUAGUGGCUAAAAUACUAUGCUUCUAUAUAGAUAUACCAUACUAUGUACACUGUGCAACUGUUAAUCAUUUAGAUUGUUUGCAUAAUUGUUUUGAGCUGUAUUUAUAGGUUAUCUAGUCCAAAAGCAAGUCAAAUAACGAUCAGAAAAGCAGCAGUCCACAGAUCAAACCAAGACUAUUUUCCAUCCUUUUGAACUUCAAGUUAGUGAAGUGGUUUAUUCAGCC
rnacentral:lncRNA from 10 species